AACUGUGUGCCUCAGCUAACGGCGAGUGAGCGAGCAAAAGCUCAAAUUUGAAAUCUAGCACUUUCAGUGUUCGAGUUGUAAUUUGAAGAAGGUAACUUUGGUUUUGGCUCUUGUCUAUGUUCCUUGGAACAGGACGUCACAGAGGGUGAGAAUCCCGUGCGAUGAGAUGCCCAAUUCCAUGUAAAGUGCUUUCGAAGAGUCGAGUUGUUUGGGAAUGCAGCUCUAAGUGGGUGGUAAAUUCCAUCUAAAGCUAAAUAUUGGCGAGAGACCGAUAGCGAACAAGUACAGUGAUGGAAAGAUGAAAAGAACUUUGAAAAGAGAGUGAAAAAGUACGUGAAAUUGUUGAAAGGGAAGGGCUUGAGAUCAGACUUGGUAUUUUGCGUUCCCUUCCUUUUUGGUUGGGUUCCUCGCAGUUUACUGGGCCAGCAUCGGUUUGGAUGGUAGGAUAAUGACAUUGGAAUGUAGCUUUACUUCGGUGAAGUGUUAUAGACUUUGUUGAUACUGCCUAUCUAGACCGAGGACUGCGUCUUUGACUAGGAUGCUGGCGUAAUGAUCUUAAGCCGCCCGUCUCAA
rnacentral:rRNA from 1 species